rnacentral:tmRNA from 1 species
GGGGGUGUUUUGGUUUCGACUGGCUUUGCCAUGCUGUAGACUGCGGACCAAGAGCUGACUUGUAAAACCGGCAAAAAAAAUUAAAUGCUAAGAAAGAAGAAGACUACGAAGUCGAAUUCGAAGCAACAGCUCUCGCUGCGUGAGCACUUGAGCGGGAUUAUUUGAGUUAAGACUCUGAUUCUUAUAAUCCUUUGACAAAGGGGUCUCAUCUAAUAGGAUUUCAUCGACUUAUUGGAAAAAUCUAGAUGAUGCUUCAUGGCCUACGCUGGUUCCACUGCCUAAGCUGUGACUAAGACUAGAACUGGAACUAUGAUCCGUAGACGUUUAUAGGUGGAUUGUUAGGACGGGAGUUCGAGUCUCCCCACCUCCA